AAAUUUUUAUUGCAUCAACUCAGACUGGUAAUCAUCCAUGUAUGAAAACUACCAACUCCCAAACAUUCCGGUUCACUGAUUGAGGGUCCAUCACAAUACAUAAAUCAAACAUGGCACCGACAACCAUAGCCGCCGCUUCUUCUUGCAUGCUCCUCAAAACACCCUUCUCUUUGAAACGCGGCAGCAAGGCUCUUAGCUUCAACAAUGGCAGACUAUUGUCCAAAAGAUUAUUUUCUUGCAAUGCCAUUUAUAAUUCCCAGGUGCGGAUCAAGCGAGAAGGUCAGCCCGAAACUCUAAACUACAGAGUCUUCUUCGAAGAUGCUUCGGGCAAGAAGAUUUCUCCUUGGCAUGAUGUUCCAUUGCAUUUGGGAAAUGGUGUUUUUAACUUCAUUGUUGAGAUACCCAAAGAAUCAAGUGCAAAAAUGGAGGUUGCUACUGUUGAGUUAUACACACCCAUUAAGCAGGACACAAAGAAGGGCAAGCUUCGAUAUUACCCCUAUAAUAUAAACUGGAAUUAUGGAUUGCUUCCACAGACAUGGGAAGACCCAUCUUUUGCAAACUCUGAAGUUGAAGGAGCAUUUGGUGAUAAUGACCCUGUUGACGUUGUUGAGAUUGGUGAUAGCCGGGGAAAGAUUGGUGAAAUUCUGAAGGUUAAGCCUUUGGCUGCUUUAGCCAUGAUUGAUGAAGGGGAACUUGACUGGAAAAUAGUUGCCAUCUCAUUAGAUGAUCCAAGGGCUUCUCUUGUGGAUGAUGUCAAUGAUGUUGAGAAGCAUUUCCCGAUGAUCUUUUCAGGGGACACUGACCGCAAUCAGGAAUUGGUUUAGAGAUUACAAGAUCCCUGAUGGAAAACCAGCUAACAAUUUUGGUCUUGGCAACAAGGCAGCAAGCAAGGAAUAUGCUCUUAAGGUCAUUAAAGAGACUAAUGAGUCUUGGGCUAAACUUGUCAAAAGAUCGAUUCCUGCCGGAGACCUUUCACUUGUAUAACUACUACUAGGAGCAUUGGAGCUAAUGCUUCAAACAAUGAACUGAACUUUCUUCCCCUUUUUCAAGCAGGUCUUGGUAAUCAUAUAAUACUGUUACCGAUGCAUUUCUUUCUGCUUAUUAUUUGAACAAGUUAGAAUACCUUUUUUAACCAGGACAGCAUUUUACAUUCAUAUGGUUGUUCUGUUGUGGAUAAGUUCCAAGCACUAGGCUUCGACCUGAUGGUUAGAGGUUAGAACCGACAAACCCAAAUGAAAAAGGGGUUUUCGUAACCUACAUAAGCAACAUUCAGUUCCAUGUUGUCUAGAACAAUGAUGGACAAUGUAGCGGUUUUGAACGAAUAAAAUGUAGUUAUUACAAAUUGCAUUUAUAAAAUGCUAUUGUCUCUUGUAAACCUAUACAACUCAUGGAUGAUGAUCAACUAGCAGAAGAGUCACUUGUUUCUGUAACUCUGGGUUCAAGCAAAGGUGUUGCAUUUGAUCUAUCAACUUCAGUAACUUGUCCUUCACUAUCUUCAUUGAAUCUAUCCACA